GACGAACGCUGGCGGCGUGCUUAACACAUGCAAGUCGAGCGGUAAGGCCCCUUCGGGGGUACACGAGCGGCGAACGGGUGAGUAACACGUGGGUGACCUGCCCUCAGCUCUGGGAUAAGCCUGGGAAACUGGGUCUAAUACCGGAUAUGACUCCAUGACGCAUGUCGUGGGGUGGAAAGCCUUGUGCGGCUGGGGAUGGGCCCGCGGCCUAUCAGCUUGUUGGUGGGGUGAUGGCCUACCAAGGCGACGACGGGUAGCCAGCCUGAGAGGGCGACCGGCCACACUGGGACUGAGACACGGCCCAGACUCCUACGGGAGGCAGCAGUGGGGAAUCUUGCGCAAUGGGCGAAAGCCUGACGCAGCGACGCCGCGUGAGGGAUGACGGCCUGGU
rnacentral:rRNA from 1 species